rnacentral:lncRNA from 1 species
AACAGGUGGAGCCGCGGCGGGGCUAGGCGGGGCGGGGAGUGAAACAGCAUAGGCUCCGCCCCUCGCGGCGCUUCCCCCGGAAUAGCGUCAUCAGUUCUAUAAGAGAGCGUGUGCCGAAGGCCUCGGCCUUUCACAUUCGGGAAGCGUCGGGAUUAGGUGAAAGUCGCCGGGCGUCCACGUGCAGCCCUGGACCCUGAACCCCGGCGUGCGUGGGCCGUGGGCCCUCGGGGAAAGGUUCCGUGCACUCGGGGACUCCGGUGAAGCCUGUUCAGCCGUCUGUGUCAUGUGGCCAUCUUGAGUCUACUCUGUCGCUCUUGUGCCCUAGCACCCCGAGAACCGUCAGUUUGAGCCAGAUGGAAGCUGAGCUGAACACAUUACGAUGGAUGAUGGAAACAUAAGACUAUCAAGAAAUCCAAGUGGUAAUGGGCGAAGUUUAUUCAGCAUCCGGCAAUGGACUUAUCGUAGUUGGGGAAACGGGUGUUCCGAAUAAUAUCCUGGAAGUUAUCAGGACACCUAUUUUAAAUAUAGGCCUGAAUUUUGUAAAGUAAUAUUUAAGGUGGUCCGUGAUAAUUAAAUAAAAUGCUUAAUUCAUGUGGCUACU